GUGGGGAAUCUUGCGCAAUGGGCGAAAGCCUGACGCAGCCAUGCCGCGUGAAUGAUGAAGGUCUUAGGAUUGUAAAAUUCUUUCACCGGGGACGAUAAUGACGGUACCCGGAGAAGAAGCUCCGGCUAACUUCGUGCCAGCAGCCGCGGUAAUACGAAGGGGGCUAGCGUUGCUCGGAAUUACUGGGCGUAAAGGGCGCGUAGGCGGACAGCUUAGUCAGAGGUGAAAGCCCAGGGCUCAACCUUGGAAUUGCCUUUGAUACUGGCUGUCUUGAGUUUGGGAGAGGUGAGUGGAACUCCGAGUGUAGAGGUGAAAUUCGUAGAUAUUCGGAAGAACACCAGUGGCGAAGGCGACUCACUGGCUCAUUACUGACGCUGAGGCUCGAAAGCGUGGGGAGCAAACAGGAUUAGAUACCCUUGUAGUCC
rnacentral:rRNA from 1 species